CAGCCGCCGCGGGAAUACGUAGGUGGCAAGCGUUGUCCGGAAUUAUUGGGCGUAAAGCGCGCGCAGGCGGAUAGGUCAGUCUGUCUUAAAAGUUCGGGGCUUAACCCCGUGAUGGGAUGGAAACUGCCAAUCUAGAGUAUCGGAGAGGAAAGUGGAAUUCCUAGUGUAGCGGUGAAAUGCGUAGAUAUUAGGAAGAACACCAGUGGCGAAGGCGACUUUCUGGACGAAAACUGACGCUGAGGCGCGAAAGCCAGGGGAGCGAACGGGAUUAGAUACCCCCGUAGUCCCUGUCUCUUAUACA
rnacentral:rRNA from 1 species